UGUAUGUAGACCUUGUAUUCUACGCUUGUUAAAUUCACUUGUUAGUUCUAAGAGUUGCUUUGUAGAUUCCUUAGGAUUUUCUACCUAAAACAGUCAUGGUGUCGGGGCACCUGGGUGGCUCACUUGGUUAAGCAUCCAACUUUGGUUCAGGUCAUGAUCUCCCAGUUUGUGAGUUCAAGCCUCACAUCAGGGCUGCUUUGGAUCCUCUGCCCCCUGUCUCUCUCUGCCCCUCCUCUGCUUGUUCUCUCUCUCUCUUUUUCAAAAUAAAUAAAUAAACUUAAAAAAAUUUUUUUUAAUCUUGAAUGUAAAGACAGCCUUAAGGGCACCUGGGUGGCUCAGUCAGUUGGGCGUCCGACUUUGGCUCAGAUCAUGAUCUCAUGGUUCGUGGGUUCGAGCCCCGUGUUGGACUCUGUGCUGACAGCUCAGAGCCUGGAGCCUGCUUCAGAUUCUGUGUCUCCCUCUCUCUCUCUCCCUCUCCCCCAUUCUCUUUCUCUCUCUCUCUCUCACACACACACACACACACACACACACUCACUCUCUCUCUCUCUCUCUCUCAAAAAUAAACAUUACAAAUAUUUAAAGACAGCUUUACUUCUUAUGUUUACAUUUUAAUGCCUUUUAUUUAUAUUUUGCUCAGCAUAGUUGCACUGAGAUCUCCAAUACAAAGCCAAAUGGAAUUGGAAGGCACAGACAUCCUUUGUGUAGAUUGAAUUAUUUUUUCCUGAAAUGUUUAAUGAAACUAAGAGUGACACAAUCAAUCUCAUAAUGUGAUUGCAGCUUUUUCUGUUGGAAGAUUGUUUUAUAAUAAAGCCAAUCUCUUGAACAGAUGCAGAGCUAUUCCAUUUUCUGCCUCUUUUUGUUUCGGUUUUGUCCUCCCAGGCUGAUUAAUAUUCCAGAGACACAAAACAACUUGAAGAAUUGGGGUAGAGACAGGCCCAGGAGGCGAAAAUCAUCGAUGUUUCCAGGAGACCGUGGGAGUCGUCAAUAUUUGUCCGAGGCCACAGGACCGUACAGAGGGUCUCUGAGCCUAACUUGAGCGUCCACGAUUGCGAAAGUCAGGGUUGCUGGGACGGUGAGCUGAGCCCCCGGGGUGCGACAGCUCUUGGUAAGCUGUAAAACUGUGUGCGGGGCCACCUGGAUGGCUCGGUCGGUUGAGCGUCCGACUUCGGCUCUGGUCACAGUGUCCCGGUUUAGGAGUUCGGGCCCCACAUCUGGCUCCCUGCCGUCAGCCUGUCAGCGCGUGGCCCACGUUGGAUCUUCUGUCUCCCCCCUCUCUGCCCUUCCCCCACUUGUA